rnacentral:misc_RNA from 1 species
GAACGAAGACUCUCCUUUGGGUCCUCAAGCUCAGGGAGGAAAAUUUAGAGGGCUUGAUGAUGAUCUUAACAUAACCAGCAGAAUUCCUAGGGUUCAUGAAAGAGAAUAUUCUGAUCCCAGAAAUAACAGACUUGCAACAGGUUUUGAUGAUUUUGAUGAUGAAGAUGAUGUUGACAGUUAUGAGCUAGAAACUGAAAACCAUAGUCCUGCAUGGAAGGAAACUCGAAAUAAUUUUACUCGACAAGGGAUCUGUGAAUUGGAAGAUGGUGAAAGUUCUGAUGAUGAGUUGCACACUAAUCCAAGGGAAAGUCCCCAAUCUUACAUCAAGCCAUCUAAGCAUAAGCAUAAAAAGGCAUCUUUCUUGGACUCUGAGGAUGAUGAACUGAACUUUGAUUCAGAUGGUGAAAUUUUGGUUAACCGCAAAUGGAAAUCUAGUCAUGUCAUUGAUGCUAAACAUAAAAACAGGGGCAGAAGUCCAACUGGUCUAUCCAGGG